rnacentral:rRNA from 1 species
GGGGGAUAUUGCACAAUGGAGGAAACUCUGAUGCAGCAACGCCGCGUGAGGGAAGACGGUUUUCGGAUUGUAAACCUCUGUCCUCGGUGACGAUAAUGACGGUAGCCGAGGAGGAAGCUCCGGCUAACUACGUGCCAGCAGCCGCGGUAAUACGUAGGGAGCAAGCGUUGUCCGGAUUUACUGGGUGUAAAGGGUGCGUGGGCGGCUCUGCAAGUCAGGCGUGAAAACUAUGGGCUUAACCCAUAGACUGCGUUUGAAACUGUGGGGCUUGAGUGAAGUAGAGGUAGGCGGAAUUCCCGGUGUAGCGGUGAAAUGCGUAGAGAUCGGGAGGAACACCAGUGGCGAAGGCGGCCUACUGGGCUUUAACUGACGCUGAAGCACGAAAGCAUGGGUAGCAAAC